CCCCUCUCAGGACUGCGCCUGGAGAGUUUCCAGUCCUCUACCAGUUUCGGCUGUGGGAGAGAGAGUCAAACAGAGACAUACCCAUUCCAUUCCUAGCUUGGGCAGUGGCUAGCCAGUAGAAGACAAUCUGCUACAAGU